CUCAUUUUGAGGCAUUCAACUCGGAUUUUGGUCCUCGGUGUAAAAAGUUUGGACACCCCCUCCGAUCUAGAGCAGACAUUCCCAGUGUUGAUCAAGUUUUGCUCUAAUUUUGUGUUCGAUGAAAAACCUUCUCAAUCGGAGUUGUUAUGCAACACGAAGCUCUCAUCACCGGGAGGCAGUGGCGUGACUCAGGUCGUCAGCAAUGCUUUGCCAUUCCGCGGCGGCGCCGCCCGUGAUGGACAGGCCACUGCCAGGAGGUAGAUUCAAGGCAGCGAGGACGAGAAAAGACAGCGAACGAGAUGGAUGUUUGUGCCCGUAGGUUCGAUAUGAUGAAGCUUUUAAUAUUCUAACGAGGCAAAUGUCGGCUAAAAAGGCUCUCACAAAGCAAAGCUACUGUUUUUUUGCCACCCAUUUUGACAUGCUGCUUGUUACUGUUUAAAUCUGGAAACUUCACACAUGACAUGCCUUCCAUAGCCUAAGAACAGGCAGACCAGCUCCGUUAACUAAAUGAAACCUGGAUA